AGCAGCUUACCAUGCAGUCGAGCGGAACGAGUUAUCUGAACCUUCCGGGGAACGAUAACGGCGUCGUAGCGGCGGACGGGUGAGUAAUGCCUAGGAAAUUGCCCUCGAUGUGGGGGAUAACCAUUGGAAACGAUGGCUAAUACCGCAUAAUGCCUACGGGCCAAAGAGGGGGACCUUCGGGCCCCUCGCGUCAGGAUAUGCCUAGGUGGGAUUAGCUAGUUGGUGAGGUAAUGGCUCACCAAGGCGACGAUCCCUAGCUGGUCUGAGAGGAUGAUCAGCCACACUGGAACUGAGACACGGUUCAGACUCCUACGGGAGGCAGCAGUGGGGAAUAUUGCACAAUGGGCGCAAGCCUGAUGCAGCCAUGCCCCGCGGUUUGUAAAAAGGCCUUCCGGUUGUAAAGCAACUUUUCUGUCGUGGAAGAGAGGUGGGGUGGAUUAAUAAACUGCGCUUAUAUUGACCGUUUAGCCGACACGAAAAAACACCCGGCCUAUAAUCUCGUUGGCACACAGCCCCGCGGGAAUAUACGAGAGGUGUGCGAGCGCGUUAUACGGGAAAUUACUGGGGCGCUAAAGCGCGAUAGCAGGGUGGGUUUGUGUUUAUUCACAAGUGGGAAGACCGGGGGCUCACACACUCUCGAAUUAGCCUUUGAAAACUGGGAGACCUAAAGUACUGUGUGGAGGGGGGGAGAAAAUUCCAUGAGGUAGCCGAUGAAAUGGCAUAGAAGAUCUGAGAAGGAAUAACCGGUGAGGGGAAAGGCGGCCCCCUGAGCUAAAUAAUUGACACAUCCGCAUGACGGAAAGCGGUGGGGAGACCAAACAGGAUUAGAUACCCUGGUAGUCCCACGCCCCUAACGGAUGUCUACUGGGAGAUGUGGCUUGACACGCGUGCUUUCGGAGCUAACCGCGUAAGUAAACGCCGCGGGGGAGUACGAUCGCAAGAUUAAACCUCAAUGAAUUGACGGGGCCCCGCACAAGCGGUGGAGCAUGUGGUUUAAUUGGAUGCAACGGCGAAGACCUUUACCUACUCUUGACAUCCCAGAGAACUUUCCAGAGAUGGAUUGGUGCCUUCGGGAACUCUGAGACAGGUGCUGCAUGGCUGUCGUCAGCUCGUGUUGUGAAAUGUUGGGUUAAGUCCCGCAACGAGCGCAACCCUUAUCCUUGUUUGCCAGCGAGUAAUGUCGGGAACUCCAGGGAGACUGCCGGUGAUAAACCGGAGGAAGGUGGGGACGACGUCAAGUCAUCAUGGCCCUUACGAGUAGGGCUACACACGUGCUACAAUGGCGCAUACAGAGGGCAGCAAGCUAGCGAUAGUGAGCGAAUCCCAAAAAGUGCGUCGUAGUCCGGAUUGGAGUCUGCAACUCGACUCCAUGAAGUCGGAAUCGCUAGUAAUCGUGGAUCAGAAUGCCACGGUGAAUACGUUCCCGGGCCUUGUACACACCGCCCGUCACACCAUGGGAGUGGGCUGCAAAAGAAGUAGGUAGUUAACCUUCGGAGACGCUUACCACUUUUGUGCUGC
rnacentral:rRNA from 1 species